AUGUGCCAUGACCUGCCCUCAUAUUCAGUUCCAGCAAGACACCUCUGUAAAAUCAUUUGUUUAAUAUUAAGGAGGACACAUUUUGUAUGGAAAAUUUACAAUUGUUCUUUCUGGCUUCUUCACAUACCCAACGUUUCAUGUAUAGCAAACCUGAGGAGUAUCACAUGUUGCCUGAAUUCUCAGGGGUUCUAUGCGGACGCUGCUCUUUUAGGCAAAAGUUGACUCCUAUGUAGCUGUGAGGGCUAAAAGAUCACCAAGGUCAUGUGAAGAAAUGAAAUGAAGUGGAAGGUGGAAGUGGACUGGGGAAGACUAUGGAGAGCAAUUCAAAAUUUUCUCUUGCCCUAAUACUGUUUAAUCAGGCAUCUUAUUCAACUUUCAGAGCAACCCAUGGAAGAGGUAUGAUUUCCUGACUUUCCAGAUGAAGCCAAGGAAGCCCAGAGAGGUUGAGUAACAUAUACAAGAUCAUGCAGCCAAUAAGUGAUAGAACAGGCAUACAAAAUCAGGACUUUUUAGAUCCCGAAACCAGUUGCUUAACUGCUAGUUCACUACCCCUAUCGCCAGCUCAGAGAGAUGCCUUUGAGCAAAGAAUGCUGCACCCUCUCUUUUACCUCAUUUCUAUGUUUUAAAUAUUUCUUUAUUUUGCAGAGAUACAUAGAUAGAUAGAUGAUAGAUAGAUAGAUGAUGAUAGAUAGAUAGAUAGAUAGAUAGAUAGGGGGCAAGACAGAGGAAGAGAGAGUCUUAAGCAGACUUAAUGCUGAGCAGGGCAUUGUGGGGCUUGAUCUCAUGACCCUGAGAUCAUGACCUGAGCUGAAACCAAGAGUCUGAGGUUUAAUCAACUGAUUCACCCAGUCAUCCCUCAUUUCUAUAUUUCUAACUCCAGGUUAACCUGAGGGUGCAUAGGGAUACCUGGGCAGCUCAGACAGUUAAGCGUCUGUCUUCAGCUUAGGUCAUGAUCCUGGGGUCCUGGGAUAGAGCCCCACGUCAGUGUCUCUGCUCCAGGGGGAGCCUGCUUCUCCCUCUC
rnacentral:lncRNA from 1 species